GGCAGGGCCAGGGGCUUAGAGGAGCUGAGAUUAACGUCGCCCCCCUACCCACUGACCCUCUGCAGGCGCUGGGGCUGUGGAGAUCCGGAGUCGCCACAGCUCCUACCCCGCGGGGACGGAGGACGACGAAGGGAUGGGGGAGGAGCCCAGCCCCUUUCGGGGCCGCUCGCGCUCGGCGCCCCCCAACCUCUGGGCAGCACAGCGCUAUGGCCGCGAGCUCCGGAGGAUGAGUGACGAGUUUGUGGACUCCUUUAAGAAGGGACUUCCUCGCCCGAAGAGCGCGGGCACAGCAACGCAGAUGCGGCAAAGCUCCAGCUGGACGCGA
rnacentral:lncRNA from 1 species